AGCUUUGCGCAGUGGCAGUAUCAUAGCCAAUGAGGUUUAUCCGAGGCGCGAUUAUUGCUAAUUGAAAACUUUUCCCAAGAUAUAUCCCUUAAUUGGUCAAAAUCUUUAGCAAUUAAGGACAUAAAAGUUAAACUACU